UUCCGGUUGAUCCUGCCAGAGGUCACUGCUAUUGGGAUUCGACUAAGCCAUGCGAGUCGUGAGGGUUCGGCCCUCGGCAGACGGCUCAGUAACACGUAGAUAAUUUGCCCUUAGGUGGAGGAUACCCUCGGGAAACUGAGAAUAAUACUCCAUAGAUCUAGACUGCUGGAAUGCUUUUAGAUUGAAAGAUUUAUCGCCUAAGGAUAAGUCUGCGGACUAUCAGGUUGUAGUCAGGGUAACUACCUGACUAGCCU
rnacentral:rRNA from 1 species